AUUGAUUUUUUUGGGUGAUGCAUCAGUCGAUUGAUUUGUUUGGUAGAUGUCAAAUCACUUUCCAUAUGCUUUUGCAUACGUUUGUUUGGAAUUUACGAACGCCAGCAUCGAUAAAAAAAAUCACUUCGAUAGAAAAAAUCAAUUUACGAACACGCCGUUAGUUUUCCUGGUGAAAUUGGAAAAGGACUUGGAUGCAAAUUUCACUUCCACUCGUCUGGCUACGAACCAUGGCCGUAGCCAAAGGCGAACCAUAGCCGGGUGAAAAGGCGGUGCCAGUCGUUAAUUGUAUUUCGCCACCUCUAAUGAUCGCUCAACAAUGUCAGUGAUUGGUUAUCUUGAUGACGGUCGGGACAAAUCUCAGGUGAACGAGUAUGGAUCUCAUUUUAUUAGGACAUAUUUUUAAAUUAUAGCCCUACCAAACGCUCAGGAAACGAUACUAUUCGAACUUUGUGGUAACGAUCAGAAGGAAAGAGGAAAUUCCGGGUCGCUGAACAAGUGAUGACUCUCAGCCGAUUAGUUUGUGUUCAUGAAAAAGGAGGAACAACUUAUGCAAUGGUACGCUUCUGCGACUGCGACGCUGUUUCGAAAAGUAUAAUCAUCCAGGAGAUGGAAAAUAAUACUACUUUCCGAUUGAUAUCAUAACGUUGCUGGAACAAAUAGGCCU